UGGAUACUCGUCAACAAUAUGGUGUUAUGAUUGCGUUGUUAGCAAUCAGGCGCUUUUAUUAUUAAUUAAAAGCGGAGAGGUCGACGACGGCAAGUACGCCCCAUCAACGUAAACAGAUAACCAGAAAUAUCCUCCUGUUGCUCAUUCUAGAAGAAGAAGAAGAGUUUUAAGCUUUGAUUCUAUUGACAAAGUGUAUUGGCAAAUCAACUUUUGAUGUUACGUAUACAAGAUGUAGAAUUUUGCCAGUUAGCAGAUUUUGUUCAUGCAAUAAUUCAAUGCCUAUUCACUAUGACACUAUACAAUUAGUUACCUGAAAAUAUUUACCAUUACCCACUUUUGUAUUGACUAAUUUUGGUUGCACUUAAAAUUUAUCUUUUGUGGAUUAGUGACAAGCUUCAAUAAGAUUCCUGUAACAUACCAUAAUUUUUUAAAUAAAAAUAAUUAAAAUUUA